UUUUUCUUACCCUCGCAGAGUGUGAUGUAAAAGGGUUUGUGGAUAAUAAAAGCACUAUAGACAUCUUAUUUCAUGAUGUCUUCCAAUGGUUGUAGGACAACUUGAAAAGAUGAGCACCCCUCUGGCCGGCUUCACAGAAGAUUCUGUACCAGCAGAAGGGGUUAUCAGCCUGCUAAUCAUAGUUGCGUGCGUGCCCCGAGAAAGUACUGUGAAGCUAAACUUUCUCGUGGGAACUCGAAGCUCGGGAGCCAUCAAAAUGUCUUCAAGAGGUACGAGACGCCACUUCGGCUUUAAAUAAUUUCAAUAUUCAACAAAUUUUCAGGUCGGAGAAUGCAAAAGCCAACCUACGAUCUGAGUGGGGGCAUACGAUCGCCAACAGACAAGGUCUGUCGCCCCGAUCUAAGUAGGGGUGUAUGAUCGCCAACAGACAAGGUCCGUCACCUACGAGUAUCUCCAACAUCUUUCCAAUCUAAGUUGGGGCGUACGAUCGCCAACGGACAAGGUCCGUCGCCUACGAGUAUCUCCAACAUCGUCCCGAUCUGAGUGGAGGUGUCCUACUGAGUCGACCACGAGCUAAAGAAGGCCACUGAAGUCGACCUCGGAGCAGAGUCGCUUAGCUCAGCUUGGACAGCUCGGCCUAAAGCCGUUAGCUCCAACUGCAUGAGACGUACACCCUACUCGGCACAUACAUCUCCAUAGACAUUUGGCCAUAUUAUAGAACGAUCAACAACUGGAAUACUUCCUUCGCCCGAGCCGAAAGACAACUCGGACUCGGAAGUCGAAGGGCCAAUGAUGGGGGGCAAAAUUGAUCGUCCUACUCCAGCAUGGAGUCACCCAAUUCCAAUCGAGCAG
rnacentral:lncRNA from 1 species